UUGGUCAUUCUGACACCAGAUAUUGUAUGCAAAGCUGACUGUGUUUUCUCUGGUGACACCAGACACUGUAUGCAAAGCUGGCUGUGUUUUCUCCGGUGAAUUGGGAAGAGGGACUACACUUGAAAUUGACAAGAUGAGUUUCAGUUGCCAGCUGUUCCACGUGGGUCCUUUCAGUUCCUGUAAGGCUUCCAGACACUGGCAUGAGUACCCUUGGCUGUGUACAUUUGAGUAAAGAGAGCACUAUAAAAUCAAAAACCAAUGAAAUGGUUUCCAGAACACAGAACUAUUAAGCUUAAGAAAAGGACAGAAGGAACUGAAGAGAGAGGAACUGUUUUGGAGCAUCACACUUCCACCUCAGAAGAAAUAAGGAAGGAAGGAGGAGGGUGUUCCCACGGCUCUUCAACCAGGCCGGCUCUUCAGCCUACAUCCCCAUCUCAUCAAGUAAAAGGGAUUUUUCAACUGGACCAACCAGAUGGUUUAACAGUGCACUCCCACACCAUUCAACUACGCAAGGGAGAUACACUUAACAUAUGCAGUCGUAUAACACCUACUAACAUUUUCAAACAUUAAACCUUUAAAAAAGAGUUCUAAAGAAAUAGAAGCUUGAAGUAUCAUCUCUCAAGUAUAUAGACACUACUUCAUGGUGUGGUAAUAUAUGCAUAUAGAAGCUAGUAAACACCUCCAGGAGAUGCAAAAGGAAUUAGAACUGCCACAAGGUGCAAGCAAAACCUUGAGUGAAGAAGGAUGUGGUUGCUUCCCCUUCUGCCAUGAUUGUAAGUUCCCUGAGGCCUCCCCAGUCCUGCAAAACUUAGGUGUAUUGGAAAAGUUUUGGAGAUUUGCAAUAAUUUGAAAAAACCUCACAGAUGAACUGCCACCCCUGAGAUAACAAAACCAACCCCUUCUCUUCUUCCUCCUCUUCAGCCUACCCAACAUGAAGACCACAAGGAUGAAUACCUUUAUGAUGAUCUACUUCCAUGUAAUAAAUAUUAAAUAUAUUUUCUCUUC
ensembl:lncRNA LINC00343 long intergenic non-protein coding RNA 343